CGCGAGGGAGGGAGCGCGAGGCAAGCCGCGAGGGGGGAGAGAGGGGGAGCCGGAGAGGGGGAGGCGCAGCGCGAGUUGGCCGAGGCCGAGGCCGAGGGGGCCGGGGCGCGGGGAGGGCUAGCCGUGGCGGAAUGUGGGGAGCCCGCGGGCCCGGCGCGGGAGAGGGCUAGGUAGCCUCUGGCAGUCAGUCUGCUCCCGGCCGUGAAGCCAGCACCUCCGCCAGCCCACCACCAGUUCCUUCUCCUGGGCUCCCUCCUGGCCCUCCACCAAGCGGCAACAUCUCCCAGGACAAAGGACACAGGGUGAUUUUUGGCAGCAGAAAUUGGGAAGGCCAGAGAAUGGGAGGGAGGCAGGCUGGCAAGCCGGAAGAGCUGGAGCUGGAGUGUGGAUUAGGAGCCCUCAGUAGAGCUCCAGAUUUGGGGUGGGGGUCGGGUACUUGUGGGGCCAGUCUUGCUGGAGGCUAAGGGUGGGCCCUGAAUUGGCAAGAUCCCACCUGCCUUCAGGGAAGGAAGGAGGUUAGCUCUGGAGCAGCUCAGUAGAUUUUUGUCUCACAAUUCCUUGGGCCAGAUUCAACAAAGUUCUGGGAAUACUCAAAAGCUCUAAACAAGAUUCCAGAGCACUGGGGAACUGGGCGCAGGAACAGGAACACUUCCUUGGCCUGGGAAUGAGUCAUCACUCUGAAGUCCCUUGAAUUGGUUGGCACUCACUUUACCACUCCAAGCACACCUUCCUCCCAGGGCCUCCCUGAGACCAGGCCAGCUCCCUGUCUCCCUGUGCACCCCGACUCCCUUCCUCUUGCUCUAGGGUAGCUGCUGCUCCUCCCCACCCCUGACUUUGUUCCAGGGCUCCCCCUUUCCCUCUCACCCUCUCUCCCCAUGGCAUUUCCUCUCUUUCUGUACCACUCAGUUCAGUCUCCCACUGGGCCUUGGCUCAAGCCCUUUCCAAAUCCCUUCCAGGCUGAGCUCUUCUCCCUUGUUUUUUAAUCACUAAGGAAUGGGCUACAAUGGAUACUAAAAGAAAAAUUUAGGCAUAUGUGGGGAUAGGGGAUGGUGAGAGUCACAAAAGAAACCAUUGUCUACCCUCUCCCAUUCCUCCCCUACCUGAGGGCCAGGCUUAUAGUCCAGCUGCAGGGGACAUCUCUCUCUCUCUCUCUCACACACACACACACACACACACACGCACACGCACACACACAGCCCCAGCCAUCCCUCACCCCAGCUCCCUCUCUGGCUCAGCCCCCCACAACCCAUUGGUCUCCAGGCAACGGCACAAAGGGAAAGUGGAGAGAAGGGCCUGGGAGGCCCAGGCAGAGCUAGCUGUAACCCAAUCCAACCCCGAUACUUUGGGGGUUGGGGGGCCAGACUGUCAGAGAAGGCGACCUGGUGAGGAGGGAUGAAAGAAAGGACAGAGGCUAGGAACUAGGCUCAAACUAGGAUAGUCCUGGUCAGUCUGGGAGUUACUAAGGUAAGAUGGGUAUCAGGGACCCCAGAGAAAACUGAGAGGCACAGAGGAAAGUACAGGAAACCCCAAGGGAGGCAUAAAGGGUCGCCAGGAGAAAAGGGAAAGAUGAGAUGCCCACACUGAAACUAAAAGGCACAGAAAUGGAAAGGGGGCAUGAGGCUCUUUGAACUGAAAAUGGCUGAGGUGUCAGGGACCCGGGAAGGAGGGCAAGAAAAGAAAUGGGCCCUACCCAUACAGAACUAGAACCUAUUUUAGCCUUGGAGCUGGGCAGGAUGGCAGAGGGAGCCAGGACCAGACCUUCGCAGAAGCAGAGCGGGAGGCCCGCAGGGGACAGCCUUGAAGUUCCUCCCACUUGGCGUCCAGUAUGGCGUCCUGCAAAACUCUGACUCCCUCUAGUGGUUAGAUCUCCCAUGUGCAAACCCUAUCUGUGGGACGCAACCUUGCAUCCGAGCCACUAGGAAGGGAUUUGUCCCCCUCGGGGGUACCUAGAAUGAGCAUCUCAACGCUGAGGCCCCAUAAGAGUUAACGAGUUAUAGCUAAGGAGUAGUACGUCUCUAGCCACAUAUUGGAAACCUACUGUUAGUCUGACCCAGCCAGGGUUCUGUUAAGCACUUUUGUUCCUGAAUCUUCAGUUUAUUGAGGACUCUGUUUCCUUAGGUCCUUCCGUAUACUACCCCCGGAACCAUUCUUCCUUCCCAUUUCCCCAUCUUGCAGUGGGUGAUGGCCAUGAAGUCCUGUUCCAUUCGAGAACCAGCCAGGGUUUUGUUGGCAGAGGCCCAGUACAGGAGCUGCUCCAGUCCACAAGCCCUUUGGAUAUGAAAACACCUUAGACCCCCUUUCCCCCAAAAUGCGCGUGCACACACACACACACACAAAAUAUUUUAUGCUUUUAGGGGCUCUUGAACCCCUUAAUUCACCUGCGUCUGGGAGCCAAGCCUUCUGCUAAGAAAGCAGGGGCCACAUGCACCCCACCUAGCCAGAAUGGGGUAGGCAGUGCCAUCAUCUCGGCCAUAUUUGUUCAGUUUGUCUUCCUCUUUUUGUGCCCCCCCAGCUCUGCUAUCCAGUUUCACCAGCUUCCAGGUGCUCCAUCUUCUCUCCCCUCAUAGGGACUAGAGUAAGACUCCUUAGACACAACAGUGCACUGAUUCAGACUUUAAUGGAGGUGCUCAUUUCAAUGCCACAGAGGUGGUGGCAACUGUGGAACGUGGCAUGGGGAGUGAGAGGUUGCUCUGGUGCAGCUGGAGGAAGAACAGGGAACCUAGGGUUGGGGAGAGAUGUAUAGAGGAAAACUCCCCCAGGCACACAGCCUCCGCUCUGGACCAACGCAGGCUUCAGUGAGUACACACAAAGGAACUGAUGUCAAGGCCCUUUCUAUGACCCUUCCCAUUCUAGCAAGACCUCCCACCCCAGUCAUCUUGGGAUCUACAGCCACAUGAAAUACAGACACAUCGUUCCCCCAAGUCAGGCCAGUUUUAGGCCAUUGAGUUAUGGGGAAAUGAUUAAUGGGAUGAAUGAAAAACAAAUAAAAUAAAUAAAUAAAUAAAUACACUAAAGCCUUAUUAGCCAGGCGUGAUCACAUGCCCAACACUCCCCUCCAUCCCAGCACUAUGCACAGUUCACGGCUCAUAUGCAAAGUGGAAGACACGUGGGACAAGAGCAAAGCACAAGUGACACAUGGUCCCUCUCUAACACCUCAGCACACCAACCCUGACGCUCCCAUCACAGAUGCUGAUCAUUCUUCCACGGACCCCCUUUUAUAAUAAUCCUCAUUCACAUUUCUAGUUUCUGAGGGAAGAGAGAAAGAGAAAGGAAGAAGUGGAAAGUGCGGAACCCCAAUGAGUAGGGCACAGAAAGGAGGGCGAGCAGAGACAGCAAGAGGUCAGGUAAGCCAAGGAGCAGCGGAGCAGGUCAAUCAGGGAAGUUCUGGGCACCCUGGGGCUCAGGGGAUCUCAGGGGGUGAACUAUCACAGAUCAGGACAGCAAGGUUCCAGGAGGAUGAGACAGAGGUUCCACGUCUCCAGGCAAGCAGAGGAAUCACAGCACACUGGGAUUACGGAAGUUAUGUCCGGCAAAGCGAGCUUCAUCCCCCAGCUCUUCCUCAAUUCUGAGAGAGAUGAACCACAAAGGAAGUGGUCAGGGAUGCAGGAGGAUCCUGCUUCUCUCUCUAGGGGUCCCCCAGACUCCAACCACCCCCACACCACCUGCUUUUGUGUCCUGCCCCAAGGCUUAGCAUUCCCUGGCUUUCCCAUGUGAUCUCUGGGAUUUGUCAAUCAGGCCAUCAAUAAACCCAGGAAGCAAAAACCAA